CUAACUCAAAUUCGUAUGGAGUUGGAACAGCUUCCCUUCGUUCGCCGCUAGGGGCGCUGCUCCAACUCCAUACGAAUUUGAGUUA
rfam:Bombyx mori DNA, contig: Bm_scaf12_contig9960, strain: p50T/Dazao, build 2, whole genome shotgun sequence.